CCUACGGGGGGCAGCAGUGAGGAAUAUUGGUCAAUGGGCUUACGCCUGAACCAGCCAAGUCGCGUGAGGGAAGACUGCCCUAUGGGUUGUAAACCUCUUUUGUCAGGGAGCAACGCCGGCUACGUGUAGCCGGACUGAGAGUACCUGAAGAAAAAGCAUCGGCUAACUCCGUGCCAGCAGCCGCGGUAAUACGGAGGAUGCGGGCGUUAUCCGGAUUGAUUGGGUUUAAAGGGUGCGUAGGCGGAAUGCCAAGUCAGCGGUAAAAUCGCGGGGCUCAACCUCGCUCCGCCGUUGAAACUGGCGUUCUUGAGUGGGCGAGAAGUAUGCGGAAUGCGUGGUGUAGCGGUGAAAUGCAUAGAUAUCACGCAGAACUCCGAUUGCGAAGGCAGCAUACCGGCGCCCAACUGACGCUGAAGCACGAAAGCGUGGGUAUCGAACAGGAUUAGAUACCCUAGUAGUC
rnacentral:rRNA from 1 species